GGAGAGAUGGCAGAGUGGUCGAAUGCGGCGGUCUUGAAAACCGUUGUUCGGGCGACCGGACCGGGGGUUCGAAUCCCUCUCUCUCCGCAA
rnacentral:tRNA from 2 species